UGUUUCGACGUCUGAAGGAAAAAAAAACAAAGGCACCCUUGAAAAAUGUGAAUUUAACUUUGCUUCCGCUCAGAGCAUGUGAGCGGAGCGGAGCGAUCGCAGAAGGAUUUUAGCCGGAGCGGGAGCGGCAUGUUUGAAAAUAACAGGAGCAUCCCUUUAUCACUUGCUUUACAAGGAACCAGUUGGGAUUGUAAAGGACAUGGAGUCACAACCUGCAGAGAACCUCAUCAAGUUUCCACAGUGCUACCCAUCAGUGCUCCAUCCACCGAAUCGACUUUACUUGGUAAAUUAUUCUUGACCGUCAUUGCCAGCUCAUUGGAUCCUGGCAGGAGUGCAGGAUGAAGAGUGUGGAAGAUCCCUGCGUAGCCCAUAAUGGGAUUGUGGCCUUGGGGCAGGGCAGAACACAUUUGAUCAUCCUCAUGACCCUGGCCAGGAUAAGCAGUUAGAAGAUGGAUGGAUGGACAUUUGAUCAUUUACUUAGUGCAUGAUUAUAUUUCCAUAGGUUUUGCCACUUUAAAAUUACUUAAGAGGAUGUAUAUCAUUAAUUUUUAUAAUGUUUUGAGAUUUUCUUCAUUAAUCCAUUUGUAUUAUUCCCCUCAACUAAUACUGUUUGAUACAUAAAUGGGCCAUCACCUUUAACUAAUCAGAAGCACGAUGCAAAUUAGAAUUGUUUUUUUUUCUCAUCUCCAGUGGAAAUGUCCAUUUGAGUUGAAAAAUAUUAGUUUUAUAACAAACAGUAGGCUAGCAUUUUUGAAUCAACUCAAUUCCAGCAGAGCUUUCAAAUUGAUUAAUAAAAUACGAUGUUGAAUUAUACCGACUGUGGCAGCAAACAACUCAAUGCUAUAGUCUCAGGGAGCACUCACUAUUUUCGUUGGUGAAUAUUUCCUGCGGUUAUUUGCUUGUAUUAAUGAAGGAGACUUGAGAUUUUUGGAUGUUCCUUUUUAAAGUAAAGCUGACUGAGAUAACAUCAGCACAUGAUUUUCAUAUGUCCCACACGUUUAGUUUGUCAGCUUGAUUCUUCCAUUCUUACUUUGGAUAAGUGUGAGCUGUUUCUGAAAAUAAGACAAAAUGGAAAAAUAACCCAAAAAAUUGUAAAUUAUAUGUACUUGGCCAAAAACCAAGUGUGAUCACAUAUGCAGACCUUAUUGCACCUCCCAAGGACUCAGUUAUCACCAGACACACAAUAUACCAUACGGAGCAUAUACCAGGCUAGCACUAUACACUAAAGGAUCACCUUUUGUGAGAUUUCUCAAAUAGUCCAUCAAUUGCUUAGCUCUCUCUUGUUCCUUUAGUCUAUUGAUAUAGCACACACUAGUGGUACAUCAUAUAUGUUAAUGUUAUUUCCAUGUCCUUUGAAAUUGAAUAAAACUCCCAGGGAUUCUGCUGA